rnacentral:snRNA from 1 species
AAAUUUAAAAAGAAGGGGAUUUUCCCAGGGUGAGUCUCAUCCAUUGCAUUCUGGAUGUGCUGGUGCCUGUGAUUUCCCCAAAUGUGGGAAACUCAAAUGUGUCAUUUGUGGUAGCAGGGGACUGCAUUUGAACUUUUCUGUA